GCUGUCACCUGUGCUCUCAAGGGGGG
rnacentral:misc_RNA from 1 species